rnacentral:tRNA from 1 species
GGAGGGUAUAGCUCAGUGGUAGAGCGCGUGCUUAGCAUGCACAAGGUCCUGGGUUCAAUCCCCAGUACCUCCA